rnacentral:rRNA from 1 species
UACGGAGGGUGCGAGCGUUGUCCGGAAUCAUUGGGCGUAAAGGGCGCGUAGGUGGCCCGGUCAGUUCGUGGUGAAAGCGCGGGGCUCAACCCUGCGUCGGCCAUGAAUACUGCCGCGGCUGGAGCACUGUAGAGGCAGGCGGAAUUCCGGGUGUAGCGGUGGAAUGCGUAGAGAUCCGGAAGAACACCGGUGGCGAAGGCGGCCUGCUGGGCAGUAGCUGACGCUGAGGCGCGACAGCGUGGGGAGCGAACAGG